rnacentral:rRNA from 1 species
UAGAAGUGAGCAUGCAGGCAUGAGUAGCGAUAAUUAAUGUGAGAAUCAUUAACGCCGUAAACCCAAGGUUUCCUACGCGAUGCUCGUCAUCGUAGGGUUAGUCGGGUCCUAAGUCGAGUCCGAAAGGGGUAGACGAUGGCAAAUUGGUUAAUAUUCCAAUACCAACAUUAGUGUGCGAUGGAAGGACGCUUAGGGCUAAGGGGGCUAGCGGAUGGAAGUGCUAGUCUAAGGUCGUAGGAGGUUAUACAGGCAAAUCCGUAUAACAAUACUCCGAGAACUGAAAGGCUUUUUGAAGUCUUCGGAUGGAUAGAAGAACCCCUGAUGCCGUCGAGCCAAGAAAAGUUUCUAAGUUUAGCUAAUGUUGCCCGUACCGUAAACCGACACAGGUGGGUGGGAUGAGUAUUCUAAGGCGCGUGGAAGAACUCUCUUUAAGGAACUCUGCAAAAUAGCACCGUAUCUUCGGUAUAAGGUGUGGUUCGCUUCGUAUUAGGAUUUACUCCGAAAGCGAAGAAACUUACAACAAAGAGUCCCUCCCGACUGUUUACCAAAAACACAGCACUCUGCUAACUCGUAAGAGGAUGUAUAGGGUGUGACGCCUGCCCGGUGCUCGAAGGUUAAUUGAUGGGGUUAGCAUUAGCGAAGCUCUUGAUCGAAGCCCGAGUAAACGGCGGCCGUAACUAUAACGGUCCUAAGGUAGCGAAAUUCCUUGUCGGUUAAAUACCGACCUGCAUGAAUGGCGUAACGAGAUGGGAGCUGUCUCAAAGAGGGAUCCAGUGAAAUUGUAGUGGAGGUGAAAAUUCCUCCUACCCGCGGCAAGACGGAAAGACCCCGUGGACCUUUACUACAGCUUGACACUGCUAUUUGGAUAAGAAUGUGCAGGAUAGGUGGGAGGCUUUGAGUAUAUGACGCCAGUUGUAUAUGAGCCAUUGUUGAGAUACCACUCUUUCUUAUUUGGGUAGCUAACCAGCUUGAGUUAUCCUCAAGUGGGACAAUGUCUGGUGGGUAGUUUGACUGGGGCGGUCGCCUCCCAAAUAAUAACGGAGGCUUACAAAGGUUGGCUCAGAACGGUUGGAAAUCGUUCGUAGAGUAUAAAGGUAUAAGCCAGCUUAACUGCAAGACAUACAAGUCAAGCAGAGACGAAAGUCGGUCUUAGUGAUCCGGUGGUUCUGUGUGGAAGGGCCAUCGCUCAAAGGAUAAAAGGUACCCCGGGGAUAACAGGCUGAUCUCCCCCAAGAGCUCACAUCGACGGGGAGGUUUGGCACCUCGAUGUCGGCUCAUCGCAUCCUGGGGCUGGAGCAGGUCCCAAGGGUAUGGCUGUUCGCCAUUUAAAGCGGUACGCGAGCUGGGUUCAGAACGUCGUGAGACAGUUCGGUCCCUAUCUGCCGUGGGCGUAAGAAGAUUGAAGAGAUUUGACCCUAGUACGAGAGGACCGGGUUGAACAAACCACUGGUGUAGCUGUUGUUCUGCCAAGAGCAUCGCAGCGUAGCUAAGUUUGGAAAGGAUAAACGCUGAAAGCAUCUAAGCGUGAAGCCAACUCUAAGAUGAAUCUUCUCUAAGCUCUCUAGAAGACUACUAGUUUGAUAGGCUGGGUGUGUAAUGGAUGAAAGUCCUUUAGCUGACCAGUACUAAUAGAGCGUUUGGCUUAUCUUUAAUAAAGCAU